GGCUAUGGGAAGUAUACAAGUUGAAUUACAAACUUUUGGCAAUGGAUCUCUUGGUUCUCCCAUCGAUGAAGAACGCAGCGAAUCGCGAAAGGUAAUGUGAAUU
rnacentral:misc_RNA from 1 species